GACGUAGGGCGCGAGCGUUGUCCGGAUUUAUUGGGCGUAAAGAGCUCGUAGGCGGCUUGUUGCGUCGACUGUGAAAACCCGCGGCUUAACUGCGGGCUUGCAGUUGAUACGGGCAGGCUAGAGUUCGGUAGGUGAGACUGGAAUUCCUGGUGUAGCGGUGAAAUGCGCAGAUAUCAGGAGGAACACCGGUGGCGAAGGCGGGUCUCUGGGCCGACACUGACGCUGAGGAGCGAAAGCGUGGGGAGCGAACAGG
rnacentral:rRNA from 1 species